rnacentral:rRNA from 1 species
UGAGGAACAUGACCUUCGGCGGGGGAUAGCCGGCCCAACGGCCGGGUAAUACCGCGUACGACCACAUGGGGACAUCCCUGAGUGGUGAAAGCAGCAAUGCGCCGAUGGAGUGCCUCGCGGCCUAUCAGCUAGUUGGUGGGGUAAUGGCUCACCAAGGCGACGACGGGUAGCUGGUCUGAGAGGGUGACCGGCCACACUGGGACUGAGACACGGCCCAGACUCCUACGGGAGCAG